CAGUCGCCGCGGUAAUACGAAGGGGGCUAGCGUUGUUCGGAAUUACUGAGCGUAAAGCGCACGUAGGCGGAUAUUUAAGUCAGGGGUGAAAUCCCAGAGCUCAACUCUGGAACUGCCUUUGAUACUGGGUAUCUUGAGUAUGGAAGAGGUGAGUGGAAUUCCGAGUGUAGAGGUGAAAUUCGUAGAUAUUCGGAGGAACACCAGUGGCGAAGGCGGCUCACUGGUCCAUUACUGACGCUGAGGUGCGAAAGCGUGGGGAGCAAACAGGAUUAGAUACCCGAGUAGUCCCUGUCUCUUAUAC
rnacentral:rRNA from 1 species